GACGAACGCUGGCGGCGUGCUUAACACAUGCAAGUCGAACGGAAAGGCCCUGCUUUUGUGGGGUGCUCGAGUGGCGAACGGGUGAGUAACACGUGAGUAACCUGCCCUUGACUUUGGGAUAACUUCAGGAAACUGGGGCUAAUAUCGGAUAGGAGCUCCUGCUGCAUGGUGGGGGUUGGAAAGUUUCGGCGGUUGGGGAUGGACUCGCGGCUUAUCAGCUUGAUGGUGGGGUAGUGGCUUACCAAGGCUUUGACGGGUAGCCGGCCUGAGAGGGUGACCGGCCACAUUGGGACUGAGAUACGGCCCAGACUCCUACGGGAGGCAGCAGUGGGGAAUAUUGCACAAUGGGCGGCAGCCUGAUGCAGCAACGCCGCGUGCGGGAUGACGGCCUUCGGGUUGUAAACCGCUUUCGCCUGUGACGAAGCGUGAGUGACGGUAAUGGGUAAAGAAGCACCGGCUAACUACGUG
rnacentral:rRNA from 1 species